GUAAUCCGUUCGGCCUCAAAACAAAAAAGACAAUCAGAAAAGAAAAGUGCAAACAAAACGAUUUGAUAUCUCCAAACCGACACCACGGUUCGGCUUGUGUGUCAGAUACAGCAUGUCAUGUGAUUUAAGAGCAUGGGAUGUCUGCACAUCUCUGUGUUACACACUUGUUGCUCGACUCCCAUCAUACAGCCAUGCGUAAAAGAGUCAGCAGGCCAGAGAGAGAGUAGCUCCGGUGAACGGGGCUCAUACACCUGAAUGAAGCCGUUUCCAUGAGCCCAGUGGAUCCCACACACACCCCCGAAGGUCAUGCGCUCCCGCACGGCACACACAUCAGCAGCACAGAGAGUGUCAAUGUUAAGAAGAGUUGUUUCAGUGUAAAAAUAAUUAAGAUGGGUGUUGUUGUGGUGUGUAUCUAACAGCUGACUCGUCCCUAAAGCUGCUUUUUUAUUUUUAUGAAGACGUAGGAGACUUUGGGAGCUGCUCACUGGGCUUUACUGUGACACAAAUGAAAACAGAUUAGCAACAUAUGGAGGUGGAUAACGGUUUUUCUGUUGGAAUGCUCAACUGGAUAAUUGUAUCAACAAUGCUUUUACAAAUUAGUCACCAUUUAUUUGUUCUGUGCCUUCAACGGUACAGAAAUCUCCAUCAAGCGCGAUUUAAAAGUCAUUAAGGGCAGCAGAGCUCCAGGCUGCUGGGAGCUCUACGUGGAAGGGGCAUCGGCCUGAUAGAUUAACGUGUCCUGUGUGUUGUGGACUAAUGGAAGCAGACAGUAAAUAUGCUCCUUAGACUUGUUCUUUGGGCAUGUGUUUGUCAGCUGGGGAUGUGGAUAUGAAGCAGUCUGCGAAGAAAAAAUGCGCCAAAAAUGAGCAAAUUCUCUGGUUUUGUCGUCAGUUUCUGUUGUCUGAAAAUGUCUAUUAUUAAAAUAAUAAUAAAAAAAAAUAAGAUCACAUAGUUGUCAGAAAUGAGCCUAGAUGAGGACGUUUGGAGGCUUAAAUCAGAGACCUUUGGAGCUGCUUGUCACACUUCAAGCUGCAGGAUCAUAUUUACCCCGAAUUAACUACUUGCAGGACGCUUUCCAUACAGUAGGAAGUUGACUGAGGUUUUUCUAUGUCCUUUAUUCGUCCGUUCAAUACAAGACAAUACAACUGUGCGUAAAAUGCGCCUUCCGUCCCGGUCAUUUGGCCCCUGUGUCAGCGAUCCGGGCCAAAGACGCUCUAAUUACAACGUAACGGGACGGUUUUUGCGCCAUAUUCGUCUAUAAUCGAGUAUUGUUAUUUUCUUCCUUUCCUCUGCAUUGUUCCUUUUCUCCUUUCAUCUCUCCAUCUUCUCCUCCCAUCUCCCUGCAUCAUCUCUCAGGCUAUAUUUAGCGGCUAGACUGAGGCCUUGGCGCCAGACCGUUUAAGACCUGUCAAAGUCCCUCAUAUUUCCCCUUGUCACAUGGAAACCCGGCGACCAGCGGCCCUCUCCUCCUCCUCCUUCUUUUCUCUUCUCCCGCUCCUCCUUCUCUCUCCUCCUCCUGUAACUACCAGCAGCUUUCCUCCUCCUCCUCCUCUCCUUCAUCUCCUCUACCUCCUCCUCCUCCUGCUCCUCUCCGGCUGCCUUUGCUAAAUGAAACAUAUCACUUCUCACUUGUAGCAAAAGGAAAAUGUUUCCUUAAGCCCUCCCAAACUCAAACACUCUCGCACACAUAUUAUUUGGAACAAUGCAUCGAAAAAGAUGUUUGCUUGUUUGUUUUUGGAUCUGGAUAUUACCGGAUGCAUCACAGAUAUGCUAUUAAAAUAAUAAUAAUAACAAUAAUAAAAUAAAAAUCUCACACCUUACACAUGUUCAGUCAUGAACUACAGCCACUCACAUCCAGGGCUGAAGCCUUUUACCUUCCUUGCUGCAUUCUGCGCCAUAUCUCAUCUGCGUCCACGAUGUUGAAUAGAGGGGUUAAGGUGCGUCUGACUGACAGGUGGAACGCCAGGUGAGGGCGCUAUGGUGACCCGAGGGAACCAGAGGAGGGUGACAGAGCUGUCACAGCUACAGGCGUCACGCAGCAGACAGCCUCACAGAAAUCUGAAGUCUUUCCGUUUCAGUACAUUUAAUCCCCCUGCUCAUUUCAGCCAUCUCAGUUCUGAUGCUGCUGGUCACUGCGUCAGGGACAGGAGACGUUUGGGUGGCGCCACAGGUGCACGGCGCGCUGCGCUCGUGUACGUGUCUGAGUUUGUCCAGAGAUGAAAAAAGACGCGAAUACAGGAAAUUCAAAUGAUGACAUCACCUGUUGCUGUUAAUCUCAGAUGUGUUGACAGCAUGGAGAGAUUAAAUUAGCAGCUGCAGCGCCGGGAACAUUGAAUCAUAUUAAGGAUCAGCAGCAGAGGAGCGGAGGAGGAGGAGAGGCUGUACCUGCAGGCCUCUGCUUUCAGGAACCCGGCACCGCAAAACAUCAGGACAUCCGCUAAAUAGCCCACAGAAAACCUCUCACCCAGGGCAGGGAAGUUUAAACAAAUACGCUUUAUUCUUAUUUCGAUCCUUAUGAAAACACCUGGAGAAUGAAAAAUUUUAAACAGCCUGAAAAUCAUUUAAAACGCGGCAGAAACAGUGAAGCUGCAGUAAAUUAAAAUCACGCCUGAACGACAGAUAUCCGAAAUAUCGAAGGAUCGAAUUACGGAUCAGAGUCACGUCACGUCACGUCAGAUCACACGCACUGCAAUAUGAAUGACUCGGUCUGAAUGAAACGAACCUGAAAAGUUCUGAAUGAAUGUCACUGCGUGACGGUGGUCUCAGAGGGUGGCACGCCGGGAGCCCGCAGGAACACCGAGUCCAGACUUUUCACACAGUUUCAUUUCAGCGUCGCUUCAUUUGAAUUUUCGAAUAAUUAUCCUGCUCACAGAAAUAAUGAUUUCAGCCAGAAAACCAGGUUUCACACAGCUGUGCUGUUCAGCAUCAGGGUUCUAACAUAUGAUUUGAUGCGCCUGAAUUAAUCACUUGUUGCACACUAUUUAAAAUCAGCAGCCUGUUUUCUCCACAAUACUUUGGAAACUGCUUCAGUGUAUUUUUAACAUCACUGAAUUUAGUCAAAAUAAGAACAAAAAAAAAAGAAAAGAAAACAACGAAACUUUAAACAUAAAAGCAUCAAAUUUUCGUCCUUAGAGCACAGCCUGAGUGUUUCAGUGUGAGUGGAGUCUUCCUCUGGUCAGUCCACCGCGCACUUUUUUUCAACCUUGUGCAACUAAAUGGAGCGCUCACUGAAUUUCUCCAAAAACAUAUUUAGAAAAAGAUGAAAAUAAUAAUCUCUGCAGAAUGUGUGUUUACAGCCCUCUCUACAGCAAUGCAUGUCUCUUUAAAUCCCGUUUUAACGCAAAAUUCAGUGUGUAUCGUUUUAAAAACUAGUCGAGUUCGUUUUAUUGAGGACGUAGAAUCCACGCCAAUAUUGAAUUCCCGAACAGUUGAUUUGUAAUUUACAGUCACCAUAGGGAGCCAAUUUACACUCUCCAACUGCACAGCCAUACACGAAAGAACAACACUGUAUUGGUUUGUAGCUGAAGUGAAAUGCUGAAGCCAGCUGGGAGUUCGUGGUGGUAAAAACUCAAGCAGAGAGACAGUCAUGGGUUCAAAUCUAAUUUGCCUUGUGCACAACACAAACUCAGGAAAAGCUGCUGAGUAGCAACAGAACUCAGGGCCCAAUGCUUUGCCUGGAAGGGAGCUUGUUGCUGCACACACUCACUGUGUAACCGGCCUUCUUCCACAAGUGAAAGUGUGAGCUACGAGGAACACUGCACACUUAUCACAAAGAAUACAAUGUGAGACACUUCAGAGAAGGCCAGCAGACCUCUUGCUCUUUAUUCUGAAAAUUAUGUUUUGAACUGCAGCUGGCAAUAAGCAUGUUUAUUGAUAACACUAAAUGGAAAGCGGUGCACAGUUAUGCAACAGCAUCAAUUGUUGGCACUUGGCCUAAAGAAUCACAAACUAACAAAAUCUCUGAUGACCAAAAUGAUGCUGAGAUGAUUCUGGGAAACUGUUCAGUCGAGCUGGACGCUGAUCUCACCAAAAACCUGCAGCACUCUUCUUAUAUUCUACUGCCGGCUGCUGACCCGAUUAGCUAAUACUGUCACAGUCCUGCUGAAUAUUCACAAGUUUUGUUCUCUCAUCACACAUUUCCAAGCAGGAGCUCUGAUCAGAAUCAAGAAAUCUCAAAGUUUGAGCAGUUUAUAAGUCAGGGAGCCAACUGUGUCAUCUUCACUGACUGAAAUCAGGGAGCAGAUUUAGGAGCUCAGUAACAGCACACAUGUUCCUCUGAGUUCAUGUAAACAGUGCUGCUCAGUUCAGUCAUUCAGAAUUUCUUUCCGUGUACUCCCACGUCACUGCCCACUUGCUAGAAAUCAAUAAUUGUAUAUAUUUAAAACAUUUUUAGGGAUUUUGGUGCGUGUGGAACUUUUGUUACAUUUCAAACAUGUCCGUGGUGGUGACGGAGACUUCCUCUGUAUUAAAAUGUGCACCUCUGAAGAUAUUUAAUAAUGUAAAGUGUUUGCAAGAACAUGACAAAAUAAAGUGACUUUCAUCUGCAAACUGCUGUGUCCUUUCUGUUUAUGUUGCAUAAUGCUGAAGUUCCUCUGGUGAAGUGGCACAUCCUCCCAGCUGGAGUUUAUUUUUCCUUUAUUCGUAACGGAAUCUUGCACAUCAGCCUAAACAAACACACUUUGCAAAGGUUCACAUUGAUCCAUUCAGUCUGUUCAUGAACUCGUGCUGUAGCCAUUUUCCUUUUGAAAUAUACAUGAGCGUACGACGCGAGCUGUUGAUGGUUACGCAUCUUUUCUCUUCAAGGCUGGGAAGGUUCCACUGCAGCUCACAGUGUUAAGAAUGAGAUCAAUGGUAGCACAUAAAGCACACGCUGUUAAUCUAAUUUCAUUCAGUUUAACUGUCAUCAGUUUUGUUUUUAGAAUUAGAAGUUUUGCUGAUUAACAGAGAAACAAACAUGCCCUCUCACUUCUCUCUCAGAACAAAGAGCACGAGUUGCCCAUAAAACGUCCUUUAACCGCCCGUUACUGCCUGUUAAAAAAUAUGGCACUAAUUAGCAGUGGUACUGUGUGCUGAUGGUCACCGCCGUGGUUGAAAUGGGAACAUUAGGAGCAAUCAGAGUGAGGACAAAAGACAGUUUCAUUUUCUUCACUUUGUUUUUUUUCUUGCAUGAAUGCAGGGAAAGAAGUCAAUGUUUCACAAAUGUAACAACAAAAAUAACAAUGAUGUUUUUCUUUUUUUUACUGUCCAUUCUGUGUCUGAGAAAGCACAUCUGACAUGCAGGCAGACCACAUGUAGCACUGCAAAUUACAUUUCGAGCAUUUUCUUGGGAGUGCAGUUAUUUUCACUUUGGACAAACUGUCAGACAAACUCUUUAUUUCUGCAGGCAAAGAAAAAAAA